CGGCAGUAAAAAGGAGGCGGAAUUCGGAUAUGGGUGAUGAGUUGUGGCAACUGUUUUGGAACAUCUCAAGCACAGGGGUUUGGUUAGCCCAUGUGUGAAACGGGACUGAAGUUGACUGACUGAAUGAUCAGAAAAAUGAUGUUCUCUUUCUUGGAAGCACCUGGAUCAUUAUUAUGGAAUGCAGGUUUUGGGAAAGCCACAAAAGAGCUGGGGGGAAACCCAGAAGGAGACCAGAUGACAGUGUCAUGCUGAAGUCCCCAGAAGAUAGUGAGAGACAGUCAAAGGCAAAGAGGGACUCCUGAAGCCACUGAAGGAAGGAAAUCAUUACAGAAUUCUACAGAAGUAGGUCAUGUGCUACAGCUGCUCAUAGUUUGAGAGGAAGAAACAUGGGACCUCAAACAUGGAACAUGACUCCUUCAAAAUGCUUGAGAGCAACCCAAGAAAAACAUCCUCAGAGGCUUAUUUAAUAAACAUUAUCUAUAAUAGUCUCAA